GACAGAGGAUGCAAGCGUUAUCCGGAAUGAUUGGGCGUAAAGCGUCUGUAGGUGGCUUUUUAAGUCCGCCGUCAAAUCCCAGGGCUCAACCCUGGACAGGCGGUGGAAGCUACCAAGCUGGAGUACGGUAGGGGCAGGAGGGAAUUUCCGGUGGAGCGGUGAAAGUGCGUAGAGAUCGGAAAGAACACCAACGGCGAAAGCACUCUGCUGGGCCGACACGUGACACUGAGAGACGAAAGCUAGGGGAGCGAAUGGG
rnacentral:rRNA from 1 species